rnacentral:lncRNA from 1 species
UGAAAGAAGCCACGUGCAAAACAGUAUGUACUACGUGAGUCUAUUUAUGUAAGAUUCAAGAAUAGGUAAGCUGACUCUAAGGCAUUGGAUGUGAAGCUAAUGGUUACAUGUAGAGAGAGGGACAGUUGCUGGCACCCAUUGAGGGUACUGGGUUCUACUUGGUCUACUUUCGUGUAGUGAUGGCUCACUAUGAAAGCUCACUGAACUGUAUACUUAUGCCUGUAUGCUUUCCUGUAAAGGCAAUGUUCUUUGGUUUUAAUGCUUGUUGAAAAGAUUACUGAGUAACUACGGGGACCAUUGGGAUGGCUGUGAUCAUGAGAAUAAGGUAAAAGGACUGUCAAAGGUAUGUGAGAGCCAGAAACCAUGACAAAGGUCUGUCCUUAUGUUUAUUCUAACAAGGGCCUUUGGGGGACAUCACCCCAUUCUAUUGUGGCCCUAAUGGUGUAUCAGAUGUUGCCUGUUGGUGCCCAGCUCCAUAGCAGCUCUUUUAUCUUUUUCUCUGCCACUAAGAUUGAGAUCUGUAUUUUGCAGACACCAAAGUGGAUGGGUCAUUGUGUACCUGGAAGGUGGUGAUGGGGGAGUUAAACAGGCAGGUGCUUGUGUGUGGUUUUCUGUGUUGUGGGAGUGAAGAGAAGCUCAGACCCCAAAGAAAAACUUUUCCGCUGGUUCCUCACCUGGACCAAGGUGACUUCCUCAGUGGCUCCUGUGAGAGGAGCACACUCAGUUUUUCGUUGACCGUCACUUUCACACAGGCCUGGCACUGUACCAGGCCCUGAGGGGAGGCCCAGUGGGAGACUGGCGAGUGUCAGGCAGUUACAGCCCGGUGUGACCGCCUCGAAGGGGAGCUGUUGGCAGCAGUGGCAACUGAAAGGCAGCUCACCUGGACCUGAGCGUGGAACACAGGAAACUUCUCGAAGCGGGAUUUCCAAAUUGGAGCUCAAAGAAGACCAAGAGUCACCCAGCUAGAGGAGCAGGGCUGGGACCUGGAUCCAGCUCCCUCCGGCUGGCGGCCCCUCACACAAAUGCCCUGUCUAGCUGUGGUGCAGCCAUCACACUGCCUGGCCCAAGGCCGCUGCUGUUAGAGUGAGGCACUGUGCACGCAUGAACUCAGAGACAGAGCCAUUCACCUGUUGAUUUUUGGCCCCCUCGCCAGCUUUCCUUCCAGCUAAGUGUUGCUGUGACCAGGUAUUGGCCAAUGGGAUAUGAACAGGUGACAAUUUCUGUUUCAAGACCCAAAAGGUGUUCGGCUUCCACAUUUCCCUAGGGCUGGAAUGUAGAAGUGGACUGUGGGGUGCCUUUGGCCAUGUGGAGGAGGAUAAUCAGAGCAGCCAGCUCUGACCUAGAGAUGGAGGCUUCUUCCUGCUGAGGACAGCAGCACUGUCCGCCAUCUUGGGUUCCUGGAUGGCUGUAUGGACUGCCUGAUGGGCCACCUCUGACUGUUGCCCCAG